rnacentral:rRNA from 1 species
UACGGGGGGAGCAAGCGUUGUUCGGAUUUACUGGGCGUAAAGGGGGCGCAGGCGGUCUCGUAAGCUGGGCGUGAAAGCCCCGGGCUUAACCUGGGAAUGGCAUUCAGGACUGCGAGGCUUUGAGUGCGGCAGAGGGAUGUGGAAUUCCACGUGUAGCAGUGAAAUGCGUAGAGAUGUGGAGGACCACCGAUGGCGAAGGCAGCCUCCUGGGCCAGCACUGACGCUCAUGCACGAAAGCGUGGGGAGCAAACAGG